rnacentral:rRNA from 1 species
UACGUAGGGGGCAAGCGUUGUCCGGAUUUAUUGGGCGUAAAGAGCGUGUAGGCGGUUUGGUAGGUCCGCUGUGAAAACUCGAGCUCAACCUCGAGACGCCGGUGGAAACCAUCAGACUAGAGUCCGGAAGAGGAGAGUGGAAUUCCUGGUGUAGCGGUGAAAUGCGCAGAUAUCAGGAAGAACACCCGUGGCUAAGGCGGCUCUCUGGGACGGUACUGACGCUGAGACGCGAAAGCGUGGGGAGCGAACAGG